UCGGGAAUUUUGGGCAAUGGGCGAAAGCCUGACCCAGCAACGCCGCGUGAAGGAUGAAGUAUUUCGGUAUGUAAACUUCGUAAGAAUAGGAAGAAUAAAUGACGGUACUAUUUGUAAGGUCCGGCUAACUACGUGCCAGCAGCCGCGGUAAUACGUAGGGACCAAGCGUUGUUCGGAUUUACUGGGCGUAAAGGGCGCGUAGGCGGUUUGUCAAGUCAGUUGUGAAAUCUCCGAGCUUAACUCGGAACGGUCAACUGAUACUGUCAAACUAGAGUACAGAAGGGGCAAUCGGAAUUCUUGGUGUAGCGGUGAAAUGCGUAGAUAUCAAGAGGAACACCUGAGGUGAAGACGGGUUGCUGGGCUGACACUGACGCUGAGGCGCGAAAGCCAGGGGGGCAAACGGGGAUUAGAUACCCCGGUAGUCCCUGAGCGGGCUGGCAAGGCGCAU
rnacentral:rRNA from 1 species